AAUAUGUGCACAUAUUUACAUGGAAUAUGAGGGUAAACUAGAAAAUUAAGGGUAAUCUAAAAUAGAAAAAAAGAAGAAAACAAUAAGUUAAAAGUAUGAAAAGACAUCCAGAAUGAGCAAGUUACUGAGGUUGUGCCUCAACUUUAGCUUGAGUUUCCUGGCAGCAAAGGUAAAAAGGAAGAGCACAGUGGCUGCAGCACAGAGCGUGAAUUGAGGGGAGCAAGUGAUCUUACAGCUGGAAAAUCAGUGGGUGAAAACGGAGAUACAGCAACUCUGAUUUUCCAUGAAGUUCAUUUUUACUUUACUUCUGGAAUAAAAACCAUCUGGCUUUAGAAGGAAGAGACCAUACAGAAGGAUGUGGGCUUGAGACAGUGACGGGCUCUUGGCAGUCUGAAGAAGCAUGAACCAGAACUAAGCCUGGUCUCUCAGGAUUUGGUGGAUGUCUAAGUUGCAGGGUUAAGAAGUUGCAGUUCCUUCUUUCAACUCAACCUCUAGCAGUUGGAUACAGAAGCAAUUGUCGAACCUGGGCACCUAAGGGGACAGGACUGUCAGUGUCCUGGAAAUCAUGUUCUUUCUUGGACUACACCUUAACUGAAGACGUCUAUGUAGGUGACGAAAACUCAUGGAAGGACUUGCCACAAUUCAAACAUGGGCUUUUGGGGUUUCUGAGACCAACAGAACCACCAUAUACUUUGUGGGUGUAGGGAUUCUCCCUGCAUGUUGAGCCUGUCACCCUAAUGACAACCAGCUUUGCAUUAACUAGAGUCAGCCCCAAAAAUGCAUCUGUUACUCCAGAGAAGGACAAAUCCUUAUUAUUACUUUAUAGGAUUUUCUCUACUAGGGGCUUCCAUAAAGUAAACAUGCUUUCAGGAAAUUAACAGAGUAAUUUUAAGCCAAAAUCCAUAGCAUUAAA
rnacentral:lncRNA from 10 species